CGGGAGGUUGAUUGAGCACAUUCAUUUUCAGUAACAGCCUUGGGAACAGUUACAAGAGUUGAAGGAGCCAAUUGAAAGUUGGGGAAGAUUAGGUGUCCAUGACGAUAUUGGGUUCACACAUCCUGCUCUUAUAAUAAGUACCACGGGAUCUUAAAGUGACCACAGAGAGUCAGGACCACUGUUUGACCUUCAAAUACGAAAUACUGCAGCCUACACAGAGCAAUAUCUCCAUUCACUGCUGCGGGACAUUUCAAUCUCUAUAGACCCCUGGCCCUCCAACAGCACUUCCAGCAGCAUCUGGUUUCCCAUUAGAGGCAACGAGCUGGACCCGAGCUGGACCCGACCUGCUUUGCUUCAGAGCCGAACCUGCAGUGGGAUGAAGGGCGUUCUGCUGCUGGCAGGAUAGUACUUCUUGUGCAUGACGAAGGUACGUGUGUGUAUGUAGGACAGAGGUCAUCCAAUAUCUCUGUCUGAUGCAUUGGUAAAUUAUACAGGCACAACACUCACUUGUCCUCCACAAAACUGGCUCUGUUUGUGUGUGUGUGUGUGUGUGUACGCAUGCGUGUGACAGACAAACAAUGUUUUUGUUCUGUACACCCUGUGUCUAUGACAUGAGAACGGCAUGGAGAUUUGUAUUGGUCUAAUAGUAGGCCUAUUCAGAAGAGCUGGGUUAUGUUCAGUAGUUAAUAGGGCACACAGUAUGGAAAUAUUCUUCAUUGAAAAAUGUUAACUUAUCAGGUCCAGGUAAAGCCUACCAGUUUAAUAAUGUCUCUAUAUUGAACACCACCCUGUUCAUUGAGCAUUGAAGUAUAAAACUGACGGUUGGACACAAGGGGACGGCCGCAGCGCUUCCUAGGGCUAACUAACUCCUCUAGUCCGGAAACAGUUGUUCCAUGCUAGGGAAUAUUAUCAUCAGGCCACUGUCUCUCGGAUGUAAGGCCUAAUGAGUCUGUUUUAAUUCAUAUCUGACCGUAGCGCUGAUCUCAUUAAACCUCCACAGUAGGCCCGGCUCAUCAGCUGAUUGCCUCCUCCACAAGUCAUUUCCUCUGGUUAGGAAUGGAAAAGCACCACAGCUGCUGAUGAAACCACAUGCUGUACUAGGCCCGUGUAAAGGUUUCAUUCCUUUCUCUGUGAUUUUGAUGAAAACGUUAUUUUUUGUGUGGUGGGAGACUGGGAAGGGCGAGUAAUAACAUAGGUACUGGGAAUGAUGAGUGGCAGAGUAGCAUUCUAACAGGCUGGUGGUAAUGAGAUAGGGGUCAGAGCUGGUGGAGGCUCGGUACUGGUGGUGUGGAUUACCUUGACAUGCUAUUCUCUGAGCCUACCACUACCCAGGCUGAUGGGCUGAGUGGUGGGGGAUGGGUUGGGAGGAAUGGGAUUUUUUUUUCUCUCUCUCACUCUGGUAAAUCACUUCAAUUUAAGGGGGAUUUAUUUGCAUGGGAAACAUUUGUUUACAUUGCCAAAGCAACUGGAAAAUAAGAAAGAUAAAAUCUAAAUAAUGAAUAGCAAAAGUUUUUCAGCGAUACCAUGUGAACGUUAAACCUGUUUCAAAAUCAUGAAGACAUUGAAAAUGUUAUGUUAAAUAAAGAGUUAAUGUUUGAAUGGUAACAGAUAGUAGAUAGAAAGAAAAAUAUUUUGCCUUUUCCGACAGGUCACGCUUCUUGCUGCUGUUCCCUGUGUUAUAUUAUGUUUUACUAUUCUACUGCUACGUUAAUGCCAGAACUAUUGCAAGGGAAUCAUUUAUUCCACAAGUUAUCUGUUUUUGGCCAAAAGAUCUUUUACCUACAGCAUUUUUUAAAUAGCAUGUCAUUUGUUAGGUUACAUUGAUUAUUGCUCUGUUCGAGUAAGUGGUCAUGUUAGUGUGGUCAGAAAGUGGUUGACUGAGCGACUCUGUCACGUCCUCCCUCCCUUGUGGUGCCUUGUUGUGCUUCUUGUUGUGUUUCUUCGGGGCAAUGACUUAGGGGGCGUGGCGUCACUCCUUGGAGUAGAGGUGGCACCAGCUGUCCCCAAUUGGCGACCACUCACCUGUUCCUGCUUGGCUCAUCCCCGGCUGUAUUUCUGAGGAGCCCUGAUGACCAGUCCAUGCCAGAUGGUUGAUCCACAGUCGAUUCCACCAGAACGACCACCGCCAGCUUGUGUACCGACCUCCUGCCCGUCUAUGACUACUCUGCCUGCUACCUGCCUGUACCUCUGCCACCAGCCUGUGUACCAACCUCCUGCCUGCCCAUGACUACUCUGCACAUGCUCCUGCCCUCGAACCAACCCUACUACUUCCCCAGCCUUUCCUGCUCUCAAUAAAUAUGCAUUGUUGCACCUCA